rnacentral:rRNA from 1 species
UGGGGAAUAUUGGACAAUGGGCGGAAGCCUGAUCCAGCCAUGCCGCGUGUGUGAAGAAGGCCUUUUGGUUGUAAAGCACUUUAAGCGAGGAGGAGGCUACUUGGAUUAAUACUCUAGGAUAGUGGACGUUACUCGCAGAAUAAGCACCGGCUAACUCUGUGCCAGCAGCCGCGGUAAUACAGAGGGUGCGAGCGUUAAUCGGAUUUACUGGGCGUAAAGCGUGCGUAGGCGGCUUCUUAAGUCGGAUGUGAAAUCCCUGAGCUUAACUUAGGAAUUGCAUUCGAUACUGGGAAGCUAGAGUAUGGGAGAGGAUGGUAGAAUUCCAGGUGUAGCGGUGAAAUGCGUAGAGAUCUGGAGGCAUACCGAUGGCGAAGGCAGCCAUCUGGCCUAAUACUGACGCUGGGGUACGAAAGCAUGGGGAGCAAACAGG